GAUGAAGAACGUAGCGAAAUGCGAUAAGUAAUGUGAAUUGCAGAAUUCAGUGAAUCAUCGAAUCUUUGAACGCACAUUGCGCCCGCUGGUAUUCCGGCGGGCAUGCCUGUUCGAGCGUCAUUUCAACCCUCAAGCCCCCGGGUUUGGUGUUGGACCCAAGUUGUGUGAACAACUGGUCUCAAAGACAAUGACGGCGUCCGUGGGACCCUCGGUGCAACGAGCUUUUAGGAGCACGCAUCGAGUUGCAAGGACCUUCCGGGCCGGUCUCCUUUACCAUUUUACAAGGUUGACCUCGGAUCAGGUAGGAAUACCCGCUGAACUUAAGCAUAUCAAUAAGCGGAGGA
rnacentral:misc_RNA from 1 species